rnacentral:snRNA from 1 species
AGCUUUGCGCAGUGGCAGUAUCGUAGCCAAUGAGGCUUAUCCAAGGCGUGAUUAUUACUAAUGGAAAACUUCUGGCACUU